rnacentral:rRNA from 1 species
GACGAACGCUGGCGGCGUGCUUAACACAUGCAAGUCGAACGGAAAGGCCCUGCUUUUGUGGGCUGCUCGAGGGGCGAACGGGUGAGGAAGAGGUGAGUAACCUGCUCUUGUCUUUGGGAUAACUUCAGGUAACUGGGGCUAAUACAGGAUAGCAUCUGCUGCUCGAGGGUGGGGAGUGGAAAUUUUCGGCGGGUGGGGAUGGACGCGCGGCUUACCAGCUUGUUGGUUGGGGAGGGGCUUACCAAGGCUUUGACCGGUAGGCGGCCUGAGAGGGUGACCGGCCACAUUGGGACUGAGAUACGGCGCAGACUCGUACGGGAGGCAGCAGUGGGGAAUAUUGCACAAUGGGCGGAAGCCUGAUGCAGAAACGCCCCGUGCGGGAUGACGGCCUUCGGGUAGUAAAACGCUUUCGCCUGUGACGAAGCGGGAGUGACGGUAAUGGGUAAAGAAGCACCGGCUAACUACGUG